rnacentral:lncRNA from 1 species
GAUUUUAGGAGAAGAAUAAGGGGGAUGACGUGUGAGGUGGUUGUUUGUCGACUGUAGAACUCUUUUAGUGCCAAAAAUCGAUCAUAGGAAAGUAAAUGCCAAAAUUGGUUUGUGGUGACUUCUUUUUUUUCGGUUUUGUCAAAGUUUUCUUUUGUUUUCCUUGCACUUUUUGGUAGAGGCUUAUUAUUGCUUGUCUUUUGGGUAACUUUGCUUUUUUCUCCAAUUCUUGGUACUCUUUUGACCAUUUGGGUUCUUCUUGCAACCGACGACUUUUU